rnacentral:tRNA from 1 species
GCCAACAUGGCAUAGUGGUUUGUGUGUUGGACUAGGACUCUGGAGACCAGGGUUUGAAUCCCAGCUUAGUCA